rfam:Nasonia vitripennis chromosome 5 unlocalized genomic scaffold Chr5_random003, whole genome shotgun sequence.
GUCGGCUACGGCGACAUGGUGCCCAAAACUUACGUGGGCAUGUUUGUCGGCGCUCUGUGCGCCCUAGCGGGCGUACUCACAAUCGCCCUGCCGGUGCCCGUGAUCGUCAGCAAC